rnacentral:rRNA from 1 species
CAAUACGGAGUGGCAGACGGGUGAGUAACGCGUGGGAACAUACCCCUCGGUUCGGAAUAACUCAGGGAAACUUGAGCUAAUACCGGAUACGUCCGAGGUCUUAAUCGACCUUGGAGAAAGAUUUAUCGCCGGAGGAUUGGCCCGCGUCUGAUUAGCUUGUUGGUGAGGUAAUGGCUCACCAAGGCGACGAUCAGUAGCUGGUCUGAGAGGAUGGUCAGCCACAUUGGGACUGAGACACGGCCCAAACUCCUACGGGAGGCAGCAGUGGGGAAUAUUGGACAAUGGGCGAAAGCCUGAUCCAGCCAUGCCGCGUGAGUGAUGAAGGCCUUAGGGUUGUAAAGCUCUUUUACCCGGGAAGAUAAUGACGGUACCGGGAGAAUAAGCCCCGGCUAACUUCGUGCCAGCAGCCGCGGUAAU